GAUGAACGCUGGCGGCGUGCCUAAUACAUGCAAGUCGAGCGAACAGACGAGGAGCUUGCUCCUCUGACGUUAGCGGCGGACGGGUGAGUAACACGUGGAUAACCUACCUAUAAGACUGGGAUAACUUCGGGAAACCGGAGCUAAUACCGGAUAAUAUAUUGAACCGCAUGGUUCAAUAGUGAAAGACGGUUUUGCUGUCACUUAUAGAUGGAUCCGCGCCGCAUUAGCUAGUUGGUAAGGUAACGGCUUACCAAGGCAACGAUGCGUAGCCGACCUGAGAGGGUGAUCGGCCACACUGGAACUGAGACACGGUCCAGACUCCUACGGGAGGCAGCAGUAGGGAAUCUUCCGCAAGGGGCGAAAGCCUGACGGAGCAACGCCGCGUGAGUGAUGAAGGUCUUCGGAUCGUAAAACGCUGUUAUUAGGGAAGAACAAAUGUGUAAGUAACUAUGCACGUCUUGACGGUACCUAAUCAGAAAGCCACGGCUAACUACGU
rnacentral:rRNA from 1 species